rnacentral:rRNA from 1 species
AUUGAACGCUGGCGGCAGGCUUAACACAUGCAAGUCGAACGAGUGGCGGACGGGUGAGUAAUGCUUGGGAAUCUCGCUUUUGGAGGGGGAUACCUACGGGAAACUGUAGUUAUUACCGCGUACCUUAGGAUGAGCCCAAGUGGGAUUAGGUAGUUGGGGAAGUAAAGGCUCACCAAGCCGACGAUCUCUCGCUGGUCCGAGAGGAUGACCGGCCACACUGGGACGGAGACACGGCCCAGACUCCUACGGGAGGCAGCAGUGGGAAAUAUUGCGCAUGGGGGGCAACCUAACGCGGACAGGCGGCGUGAAUGAAGAGGGCCUUGGAGAUGUAAGGUUCGUUCGGUGGCGAGACGUUAACUACAGAGGAAGCACCGGCUAACUCCGUGCCAGCAGCCGCGGUAAUUC